AUACGGAGGGUGCAAGCGUUAAUCGGAAUUACUGGGCGUAAAGCGCGCGUAGGCGGCUUGUUAAGUCGGAUGUGAAAGCCCCGGGCUCAACCUGGGAACUGCAUUCGAUACUGGCAGGCUAGAGUCUAGUAGAGGCAAGUGGAAUUCCGGGUGUAGCGGUGAAAUGCGUAGAUAUCCGGAGGAACAUCAGUGGCGAAGGCGACUUGCUGGACUAAUACUGACGCUGAGGAGCGAAAGCGUGUGGAGCAAACGGGAUUAGAUACCCCGGUAGUCC
rnacentral:rRNA from 1 species